rnacentral:lncRNA from 1 species
UUUCACCCUGCUCCAGGCAGCGUGGUCUGUAUGGCUCCGCCCUGGGCAGGAGGAGAAAGAAGAGGGCCAGGCACCACGUGCCUGCACUCUCCCUGGAUGCUGGAGGCUGCUCCGCCGUGGGCAGGAGGAGAAGGAAGAGAACUGGGUGCCGCCUGCCUGCACUCUCUCCGGAUGCUGGAGGCUGGAGGCAGUGAGGCAGCAACAGCGCGAGGGCGAGGCGACUUUGGAGCUGCCUCAUGCAGCGACCUCGCCUUCCGCUGCGCCUCCUCCCAGAACCCAAGAAGCCUGGAACCUGUGGCGUCCAGCCCUGAAAGGAGGAGACGGCAACCCAGCCGCGCUUUUGCCUGCACUCUCCCUGGAUGCUGGAGGCUGGAGGCAGUGACGCAGCAACAGCGCGAGGCGACUUUGGAGCGGCCUCAUAUAGCGACCUCGCCUUCCGCUGCGCGUCCUCCCAGAGCCCAAGAAGCCCGGAACCUGUGGCAUCCAUCUCUGAAAGGAGAAGACGGCAACCCAGCCGAGGCACUACUGGGUUGGGGUCUCCACGACCGAGCUGGUCUCAUCAAGUGGCGUCCAACAAGGGGCUCAAACCCGGGUUGAGGGGUUGCUGGAGCGACGGAGAACGUGGAACUACACUGGAGGACACCAGAGUACUCUUAAGCAAUCCCUUGGCCAAAACCAGCAACUGAUUUGGAUACCAUCAAGACACCUGAAAUCUUGUCAUGAGCCAGAUACUGAGGAAGAGAUUUUGGGAAGAACCCAAGGACCCCCCAGUUGCAGCCAUGUCAAGACUGACAAUAAGGAAGACAUCAGUCCCAGCAAGCAACAUUCAUCGGGCACAGCCACCCAUGUGGGGCCAGAUCAAGAAGUUGACACAGAUGGCGGAAGAAAAUCUGAAGAAAGCGGAUGACCAGCUACAAUGAGUAAUCUAAUGUCUGCAGAUGUGGAUCCCGAAUCCUGCGAGAAGUAGCCCACCAUGACGAAGCUGCCUUUGCUUUUAUCGCUUUGCAAAAACAGAAAAGGGGACAUGCUGGGAACAGGCCCUAAGCCUGUCAUAAACAGGCCUUAAACUGACCAUGAACAGGAUUUCUGCACGAAUGUGACGUGCUCCUGAUGGCUAUGACGCCCACUGCUAGAAGUUGUUAGUUUACUGGAGCAGGGUAGGGAACACCUGGCCCACCCGGAGCGGAAAACUGCUCAAACCACAAACAACAGCAUGAGUGGCCUGAGCCUUAACAACAUGUUUUUGCUGCAGAUAAUCGGCCAGAGACUGUUUCUCUACUCCUCUCUAAGUAUGCUUUGUUUUUCGUAAGGAAUGCUUUUAGCUAAUCUGUAACCUAUAGAAACAAUGCUUAUCACUGGCUUGCUGUCAAUAAACAUGUGGGUCAAACUCUGUUUGUGGCUCUCAGCUCUCAAGGCUGUUUUCCCCCUGAUUCCCACUUUGCACUUUAUUUCUGUGUGUUUGUCUUCAUUCCUCUAGCACCACUGGGUUGGGGUCUCCUUGACCAAGCUGGUCUCGGCACAUAUGCAUGUAUGCCCAGGUCCUGAAAUCAGCCUUGUGGAGCCUGUGGGUAGGAAAAGUCAACCCUCUGUGCAUGUAGGCCUGGAACCUGACCAAUACUGUAUUUUCCUACCACGUUUGGUUUCAAAUGUGGAAACUGCCCAUACGGACCUACUGCAUUUGUUUUUAAAAAUCCUCUGUAAGUGGACCUGCACAGUUCAGGCCCAGAUUGUUCCAGGAUCAACCCUACAGUAGAAAUCAAGUAUCUUUUUCAUUGUCUCUUGGGAUCUGCCUUUUCACCAAUAAAAUAUGAGGGCUGUUGGGAGCAGGCCCCCCCAAAUCUGGCCAUAAACUGUCCCCAAAACUGGCCAUAAACAAAAUCUCUGCAGCACUAUAACAUGUUCAUAAUGGCCAUAACGCCCAAGUUGGAAGGUUGUGGAUUUACAGGAAUGAGGGCAAGGAACACCUGGCCUGCCCAGGGUGGAAAACCACUUAAAGGCAUUCUUAAGCCACAAACAAUAGCAUGAGUGAUCUGUGCCUUAAGAACAUGCUCCUGCUGCAGUUAACUAGCCCAACAUAUUCCUUUAAUUCAGUCCAUCCCUUCGUUUCCCAUAAGGGAUACUUUUAGUUAAUUUAAUAUCUAUAGAAAGAAUGCUAAUGACUGGUUUGCUGUUAAUAAAUACGUGGGUAAAUCUCUGUUUGGGGCUCUCAACUCUGAAGGCUGUGAGACCCCUGAUUUCCCACUUGACACCUCU